CUAGUGGCAAACGGGUGAGUAAUAUAUAGGAACUUGCCUUAGAGUGGGGGAUAGACUUUGGAAACGAAGAGUAAUACCGCAUACUACCAUUUAUGGGAAAGUCGCAAGACGCUCUAUGAUAGGCCUAUAUCCGAUUAGCUUGUUGGUGAGGUAAUGGCUCACCAAGGCUUUGAUCGGUAGCCGAUCUGAGAGGAUGAUCGGCCACACUGGGACUGAGACACGGCCCAGACUCC
rnacentral:rRNA from 1 species